AUUGAACGCUGGCGGCAUGCUUUACACAUGCAAGUCGAACGGCAGCGCGGGCUUCGGCCUGGCGGCGAGUGGCGAACGGGUGAGUAAUACAUCGGAACGUGCCCAGUAGUGGGGGAUAGCUCGGCGAAAGCCGGAUUAAUACCGCAUACGACCUGAGGGUGAAAGCGGGGGAUCUUCGGACCUCGCGCUAUUGGAGCGGCCGAUGGCAGAUUAGCUAGUUGGUGGGGUAAAGGCCUACCAAGGCGACGAUCUGUAGCUGGUCUGAGAGGACGACCAGCCACACUGGGACUGAGACACGGCCCAGACUCCUACGGGAGGCAGCAGUGGGGAAUUUUGGACAAUGGGCGAAAGCCUGAUCCAGCAAUGCCGCGUGUGUGAUGAAGGCCUUCGGGUUGUAAGCACUUUUGGCGGGAACGAAAAGGACUGUGCCAAUACCACGGUUCGAUGACGGUACCCGCAGAAUAAGCACCGGCUAACUACGUG
rnacentral:rRNA from 1 species